rnacentral:rRNA from 1 species
ACUCCUACGGGAGGCAGCAGUGGGGAAUUUUGGACAAUGGGCGAAAGCCUGAUCCAGCAAUGCCGCGUGAGUGAAGAAGGCCUUCGGGUUGUAAAGCUCUUUUGUCAGGGAAGAAACGGUGAAAGCUAAUAUCUUUUGCUAAUGACGGUACCUGAAGAAUAAGCACCGGCUAACUACGUGCCAGCAGCCGCGGUAAUACGUAGGGUGCAAGCGUUAAUCGGAAUUACUGGGCGUAAAGCGUGCGCAGGCGGUUUUGUAAGUCUGAUGUGAAAUCCCCGGGCUCAACCUGGGAAUUGCAUUGGAGACUGUAAGGCUAGAAUCUGGCAGAGGGGGGUAGAAUUCCACGUGUAGCAGUGAAAUGCGUAGAUAUGUGGAGGAACACCGAUGGCGAAGGCAGCCCCCUGGGUCAAGAUUGACGCUCAUGCACGAAAGCGUGGGGAGCAAACAGGAUUAGAUACCCCAGUAGUCCCAUG